rnacentral:misc_RNA from 1 species
AAUCAAAAUUCGAAACUGAUUUCCCCCAAUAGUCAUGCUAAUGAAGUGUUCAAAUAUAUGGUCAUGACAUUGUGGUUUCAAAACUUAUCUUAAUAAUUUGUUAAACAUUGCCAUUUCGAACAUACACAAUAACUUUCAGCAAUUUAGAUCAAAGCAUCAUAAAUAAUGUCACAAUUCUCUUUUCAAAUUAUUCAAAACAAUAAUUUACAGAAAUUAUACGUUGUGCACAAACCUCAAGCGAGUUGCCUCUUGGCCUCGACUCGAUUACUCGGGUUCUUUCCCAGUAUUCUUUCCAACUCCUGCUCAUAGGAUUGCACCCAGUUGGUCCAUGCCUCUUUGCGCUCCUUGCCAAUAUCUAGCAGAACAGCCUUCAGAGGAACUAACAACUCAUCUUCAGGGAUGUUUGGAUCUGCUUUGAUAUUGGAAAGUAACCGGAAGAAAUUUGUGUAAUCAACUUUAUCUACAGCCAUAUUAUUGAGAAGUUUACUGAUCAACUGCUUAUUGUACUUUGGUAGACCAAGUUUUCUAGUCAUUAUAGCUUGAUACUCAUCCAUGAAUUUGGUUCCAUAUCUUUCCAUUGCAUAAUUUGCCUCCUUUUCAUCAAUCAACUGGGCAGCUGAUAGAGAAGUUGUGAAUUGUGCAAUAUUCCACAAGCCAAUGUCAGGCUGAUUUGCAAAACAGUAUCUUCUACCAGGAAGAUCUGUGGUAUUUGGAGUGUAACUUGGAUCAAAAGCAUCCAAAAAUCCAAAGGGACCAUAAUCAAUGGUGAGACCCAAUAUGCUCAUGUUGUCAGUGUUCAGCACACCAUGAGUAAAACCAACCCCUUGCCAGCUUGCAACCAGAGAAGCAGUACGCUCAGCAACCUCCACCAUCCAAGCUGAAAUAUUCCAUGAUAUAAAACAGGAAAAGCACGUGAUAAUCAAUACUUCCCACACUACUUUUGGAAAUAUGCAUAUUGAAGAGAUGGAUCAGGAAAAAAAUAAUAGUCACUAACUUAAGGCUGAUAAGUGAAAAAUAUAACAUAUCCCAGGUGAAGGUCAUGCCUGUAGGUGGCAAAACACGUACAAGGACAGUAAAUGAGAGUGUGAACCCCAUAAAGCACCAUCGUUCAGUCAAUAGAAGGACAAUCAUUUAAUGAAAUCCAGGAACAAGAUCUGACGCAAACUGUCUAACCAGCUCUCACCCCAGUGCACAGUUAUGAUCUAGUGGUGCAUUGCUAAGAUAUAAUCUUGCUAUCUUUUUCUGAAGGUGAAAUUUACCUGCAUACUUGUUUGAGGUUAGAUCCACAACCGAAUGAUCUUGAUUGCCCGUACUAAAAGAUAAGCUCUCACUUUUGCUCAUGUUCUCAAUGUGAGGAAAAUGAUGCCUAAUUGCAUAGUCAGCUAAAGCACAAACAAUAUCAAGGUCUUCUUUUCCUCUAGAAGCAUGUAUUUGGUAGGAACCAAAACGAAGAAAGGAUUGUGCAACUCUGCAACAAUUGCACCAGGUUCUUCCUUUGGAUUGCCAUCAUAGAACAUGUCUCUAGUGACAUAUUUCCCUUUUGUCAGAAGAGAAAGAGCACGAGUUGUUAGGAUGCCUAGAUGGUGCAUUGCUUCACUGCAAAGAAAUUCUCGAAUGCUACUUCGCAGCACGACCAGGCCAUCAGCAAAGCGGUUGUAUGGAGUUUUCCCUGCAACUUUAUGCUGAAGCUCCCAUCUUUCAGACUUUGAAUUUAGAACCUCACCUAGUGUUAUAGCCCGGCCAUCACCCAGCUGACCAGCCCACAUGCCAAAUUCAUGUCCCCCAUAGCACUGUGCAUAUGGCAACGCUCCAACCAAAGGAGUUGCCACAGAAAAUAGAAGUGGAAAAUCCGGUCUUUCAAAUGUCAUUGUUCCCGGUAGAUGUAUCCAAUUUGACCAAUAUCUGUAAUGUUAGAAACUAGCAAAUGCGCUUGACCUCCCAACAAGAAGGAACACAAGGCGAAACUCACUCUUUAGGAUCCAAAUCAAGUAACUCCAGCUACUGACUCUGACCACGUAACAAGCUGAGGAUUCUCUACCUCAGCUGAUGGAGAAAUUUUUGUUAACAAGCAUGCAACACCUGACGCGGAAUGUUGUCGGUUCUGGGAUCACCAGGCAACUCUGUAACAAAAGAAUGGUCCCAAUUCAGAUCUUCAAGCGUAUAUUUAUCCUUACUAGUAUUGUUAUUGCUGCUAUGAUCGUUUUUAUCAUGAAGACUAUCAUCGGCGCCUAAACUCUGAUUCUUGAAGUUAUCUGUGAGCGAGUCGACAGAGGCUAUGGCUUCCGGCGAAGAAGAGUCCAUGAAAACGCUGCCGGCAGAAGGGCAGGGUCGCUGGGGGAGAGGAUAAAGUUGAGAAUUGAGGAAAGAGGAAGGGUAGAAAGGGAAUUUGAAAGUACGGGAAGAGGAGAGAAGAAGGCGGAGAGAGAGAAAAAGAGAGAGCGAAGAUUUUGGAGAGGAAUGAGGCAAAAGAGGCAGGGUUAGG